UCUGUUUGGAGUGCAGGAGCCGGCCAGGACUCUGUUGAUGACCUGGAUCACACCUCUGUGUUACCAGUUCCCAGGAAGGCUCGCCCUGCUGUUAGGAGGCACAGGGUGUGAGAGCUCGGAGUCCAGAGCUUCUCGCUCAGGUUACUCUUGGGUUGAAGAGGCGAAGUGAUUUUCUCCAGUCACACACCACUUAGUGUUGGAAGCAGAGCCUUUGGAAGCUCUGGUGUCUCAGACCAGAACCCUCUAUACCAGUGGACCCCAUGCCUCUGACUAUGUGGAGCACUUCAAAGUCAAAGCUGUCACCUUGGACCUCAAGGGCACCUGAUCUUAACCAGGUAUGAUGGCAUGACCUUAGCCAGGUAUGAUGGCAUGCACCUGUGGUCCCAGCUACAGGGUAGGUUGAGGUGGGGGGAGGGGGUUGCCUGAGCUCAGAGUUUGG
rnacentral:lncRNA from 1 species